GUGCCAGCCGCCGCGGUAAUACGGAGGAUCCAAGCGUUAUCCGGAAUCAUUGGGUUUAAAGGGUCCGUAGGCGGUCAGGUAAGUCAGUGGUGAAAGCCCAUCGCUCAACGGUGGAACGGCCAUUGAUACUGUCUGACUUGAAUUAUUAGGAAGUAACUAGAAUAUGUAGUGUAGCGGUGAAAUGCCUAGAGAUUACAUGGAAUACCAAUUGCGAAGGCAGGUUACUACUAAUGGAUUGACGCUGAUGGACGAAAGCGUGGGUAGCGAACAGGAUUAGAUACCCUGGUAGUCCACGCCGUAAACGAUGGAUACUAGCUGUUGGGAGCAAUCUCAGUGGCUAAGCGAAAGUGAUAAGUAUCCCACCUGGGGAGUACGUUCGCAAGAAUGAAACUCAAAGGAAUUGACGGGGGCCCGCACAAGCGGUGGAGCAUGUGGUUUAAUUCGAUGAUACGCGAGGAACCUUACCAAGGCUUAAAUGUGCGCUGACUGCUGAAGAAAUUUGGCUUUCCGCAAGGACAGCGUACAAGGUGCUGCAUGGUUGUCGUCAGCUCGUGCCGUGAGGUGUCGGGUUAAGUCCCAUAACGAGCGCAACCCUUAUGAUUAGUUGCUAACAGGUCAAGCUGAGGACUCUAGUCAGACUGCCACCGUAAGGUGUGAGGAA
rnacentral:rRNA from 1 species